GUAAUAUUUAUCUAAUCCGAUGUAUCUGAUCCUAAGAGUUUAGUGCACCAUUACACUUUAUUCGGAAAAAACUAAUUAAGAGAUAUGGUAUGUUAUUAAUCCUCAACUGUGGAUAAUAACUCUACUCCUUAGGUUUUUAACUUAUUUCCUAAUAAGUCAGUCUUUACAAGGGUGUUUUAUAUUCCCAUAUUUGAACUAGUCC
rnacentral:lncRNA from 1 species